GGGGCUGACAUGGUUUCGACGGGAAUAUUAGAGCAUAGAUGGCAAGUCGAAUGUCCACGUUACGGACACAAAAAAAUAAAUGCAAAAAAUUUAAAAAAUGCAGUUAGCAACUUAUUUGGCGGACGUCAAGCAGUUGCUUUUGCCUAAUAAUAAUAUAAGGCCUGCGCUUUCUUAAAUCUUUAUCUACGUGAUUUUUGAAGGCUCAUUUUAGUAGAUUAUAGCUAUUCUUAGUUCGGAGAAUAGAAAGAAUUUAGAACUCGUAUAUUGUCUUGGUCGUUAAUUACUUGGAUGGUAUAUUAAAAUAAUUAGUUAACUAAGCUUGUAGAGGUUUAUGUAGCUUUAUUUUCGGACAGGAGUUCGAUUCUCCUCAGCUCCACCA
rnacentral:tmRNA from 1 species